GCUAAUCCUGGUCGGACAUCAGGAGGUUAGUGCAAAGGCAUAAGCUAGCUUGACUGCGAGAGUGACGGCUCGAGCAGGUGCGAAAGCAGGUCUUAGUGAUCCGGUGGUUCUGAAUGGAAGGGCCAUCGCUCAACGGAUAAAAGGUACUCCGGGGAUAACAGGCUGAUACCGCCCAAGAGUUCAUAUCGACGGCGGUGUUUGGCACCUCGAUGUCGGCUCAUCACAUCCUGGGGCUGAAGUAGGUCCCAAGGGUAUGGCUGUUCGCCAUUUAAAGUGGUACGCGAGCUGGGUUUAGAACGUCGUGAGACAGUUCGGUCCCUAUCUGCCGUGGGCGCUGGAGAAUUGAGGGGGGCUGCUCCUAGUACGAGAGGACCGGAGUGGACGCAUCACUGGUGUUCGGGUUGUCAUGCCAAUGGCAUUGCCCGGUAGCUAAAUGCGGAAGAGAUAAGUGCUGAAAGCAUCUAAGCACGAAACUUGCCCCGAGAUGAGUUCUCCCUGAGACUUAGAGUCUCCUGAAGGAACGUUGAAGACGACGACGUUGAUAGGCCGGGUGUGUAAGCGCAGCGAUGCGUUGAGCUAACCGGUACUAAUGAACCGUGAGGCUUAACCUU
rnacentral:rRNA from 1 species